rnacentral:rRNA from 1 species
UACGUAGGGGGGCAAGCGUUGUCCGGAAUCAUUGGGCGUAAAGAGCGUGUAGGCGGCCCGAUAAGUCCGCUGUGAAAGUCCAGGGCUCAACCCUGGGAUGCCGGUGGAUACUGUCGGGCUCGAGUCCGGAAGAGGAGUGUGGAAUUCCUGGUGUAGCGGUGAAAUGCGCAGAUAGUCAGGAGGAACACCAAUGGCGAAGGCAGCACUCUGGGACGUGACUGACGCUGAGACGCGAAAGCGUGGGGAGCAAACAGG